GGGUGACUAGUCUAGUGGUCAGGACGCUUCGUUGUGGCUUUCGUUCCAUAUACGAACCCGAAGAAACCCCGGUUCGAUUCCGGGGUCGCCCA
rfam:Myceliophthora thermophila ATCC 42464 chromosome 3, complete sequence.